rnacentral:misc_RNA from 1 species
GGUAGGAUGACAGCUGGUGCUUUGUGUCCAGUGAUUGGUAGAGAUUUUUGGUACAUACAACGUAUAAUCACGAGGAAUACACUGGUUUUAUUGAAAAGCUAUGUUUGGUUGAAAAAGACUGUGUUGGGUAGAAAACCUAAGUUCUCUUGCUCGCGACUCCUGUAUCCUUUUAUCUUAUUUCCUCUAAUUUUUUUAUUACUCCCAUCUCAAGGCAUUGUCGCCUUGUAUUCCCUGAUGGUUUCCCUAAUGCUCAAA